rnacentral:lncRNA from 1 species
UUCAAAUUCAAGCUAAGUAAAAAAUAAUGAUUGAUGGUAUCUCAACUUGCUUCAACAGUGACUAACUGAGUCCCCAAAAUCCAUCAUGCCCCUAUCUUCUCAUUCUUGCAAUGGAAUAACUAACAAAUUCAAUAUUCUAUAUAUGAAAAUUUUCCAAUACAAUAAUGAAAACUAUUUCAAAGUAUAGGAUGACCCCAAAUUAUGUGCAGCACAAUGCAAAUUAAAUUUUAGAAAGAGUUCACUCAACUCCCACAUUUUAAUCAUGUAUUCAUUACAAUUACAUAAAAUCUAGUCAUUUGCUAAAAAAUAUUAAAUUAUUUCUAACAUACUUUAAUCUCAUACUUGACAAAAAGUUGUUAUUUUCAUCGCAUUUGAAUUUGACCACUUGAGAGUAUGAUAGGAAGCUUUAUUUGGAGUCACCAUCCUUCAGCUAUAUCUUAUUAUAAAUAUUUGUUUCCAUACACAUAUAAUUCAUUUGCUUUAUUUUUUGUGAUUCCCUCUUAUCCUUUUUGAUAGUGAAACUAUUGACAAAUUCCACCAUUUGUUGUCAAUUAAUGUUCCACCUCAAGCUCUCUUUGGCAGCUUCUCAAUAUUUUCUUUGCAACUAACCAAUAUUUAUAUAAAAGAUUUUGUUCUGAGGAUAUUGAAGGAGUUAUAAUUAGCCUCAAGUGGAUGUAAAUGAUCGUUGACUUAUUAAUGAUGUUAAAAUUUGAUUAAAGGCAUGGCCAUUGGGACAAGUUCUAUAUUAAUUUAUACACUUGCAUCAAAAGUAUCGUAAUAUCAAAUUGAAAAGGUAUAAUUUAAAAUAAAAUAAAAGGUAUUAGGUAAUUAUUGAUUUAUAAAUUCAUAUAGUUCCAUCUAGCUCUAUGUAAGCAAAAUAAUCGAAUUAAAUUAAUAGUGACGCAUAUUUCAAUUUGAUAAAGAAAAUCAUAUGUUCAACAUCGAUUUAG